GAAGGUAUAGCUCAGUGGCAGAGUACGUGUUCAGCAUGCACAAGUCCUAGGUUCAAUCCCCAGGACCUCCA
rnacentral:tRNA from 1 species